UGGAGCGGGUACGUGAUCGCUCCGGCCGCGAGCCGGGGAGGAAAGUCCGAACUCCACCGGGCAGGAUGGUUCGUAACGCGAACGCCGGGCAACCGGGGGAAAGUGCCACAGAAAACAAACCGCCCGCCGACGGCGGGUAAGGGUGAAACGGCGAGGUAAGAGCUCACCGCUUCCAUGGUGACAUGGAAGGCAGGGUAAACCCCAUCCGGAGCAAGACCAAAUAGGGAGAUGUUUGAGGGCGGCCCGUCCGAUAUCUCCGGGUAGGUCGCACGAGGUGCCGGGUGACCGGCAUCCCAGAUAAAUGAUCACACCCUGAAAAGGGAACAGAAUUCGGCUUAUAGCCCGCUCCUUUUU
rnacentral:RNase_P_RNA from 4 species